ensembl:lncRNA
UUUUUUUUUUUUUUUUUCACUUUUCUGACAACACUGUAGGAAGAAAGCAUGUUCAGGGGACAAUUGACCAGAGGGAAAACACACUUGAUUUCUCCUCUGCUGUAGCAACUCGUGUGUUCUUGGGACAAACCUCUUAGGGAAGAUGGAUUCCAACUUUACUGACAAGUUGAGGUUCUGGCUAGAGCAGCCACAUCAUUGCUGUCCCUAGGACCCAAAAGCCCUUGGUGGAGUUUUUUGUUUGUUUGUUUUUUGUUUUUUGUUUUUUUUGAGACCGAGUCUUUCACUGUCGCCCAGGCUGGAGUGCAAUGGUGGGAUCUUGGCUCACUGCAUCCUCCGCCUCUCGGUUCAAGCGAUUCUCCUGCCUCAGCCUCCUGAGUAGCUGGGAUUACAGGCACCUGCCACCAUGCCCAGCUAAUUUUUUGUAUUUUUAGUAGAGAUGGGAUUUCACUAUGUUGGCCAGGCUGGUCUCAAACUGCUGACCUUGUGAUCCACCCGCCUCGGCCUCCCAAAGUGCUGGAAUUACAGGCGUGAGCCACCACACCUGGCCCCAACUUGGUGAAGUUUCUUAUGCUCCUAAGUCCUCCUCCCACGGCUGCACCAUGGAGAUGUGGGACAGAAGGUGCCCUUGGCAGGAAGGACUCUGAGGGGUAGACAGUAAGGUGGGGGCUGACCUGGGAGUGACAGGUUUGAGCAUCAGACAAGAGAAGGACAGAGCAGGAUGGGGAGUCUGAAAACUACUGGGACAAACCAUUACCUGCCAAGGAGAGCCCUGACCCAGACACACAGGGCUUUCCACUGCCCCUCAGGCCUCCACACAUCUCCUGUCUCCAGAGAUGCAGCCUGCUUCCCCAGGGGCUGCUGGGAAGCCCCCUGCUUUAUCACUGGAGGGUGUCACACUCAAAAUCACCUCUCCACCCAAACCGCCAACCUCAGGCCCAGCAUUGGGCCUGUGCCUCUGGCUUUCUCCCCUCAGGUGACAGUCAUACCCUGUUGGGUGCCCUGCCUACAAGGACAGAGGAGUCAUCACUGUUCCAGCUGCCGGGAGAUCUCGGUGCUGGUGCCAGCCCUCAGCCUCAAGAGGUCCUUCAUGGUUUCUUCCCUGGAAUUCCUUAGCUCCACAUGCAGACAGAAGCCCACAUUCACAUUCAAGAGAACUGCCCAGAUGGGUAAUGGGUAUGUGCCCUUGGGCCCCAUUGGAUGAAAAUGAAUGUAGAAUGAGGGGCCAAGCCAGUCACUCUUAGGUUGGUCUUUUCUUGCUUUGGCUUAUGUUUUCCCACAAAUGCUGCUGCCAUGGUUUGAAUGUUUGUCCUCUCCAAAAGUCAUGUUGAGGUUUAGUUGCCAUUGUGAUGGUAUUGGGAGGUGGACCCUGCCCUCAUGAUGGACGAAUGCCGCAUGAUAUGAGUGAGCUCAUUAUCACGGGAGUGGGUUUGCCCUUUCCUACUCCCUCUCUUUCCCUUUCUCCCUCUCUUUGCCCUUCCACCAUGUGACACCCUCUCGCAUGUUAGGAUGCAACAAGAAGGCCCUUACCAGAUGCCAGCUCCCUGAUUUUGGAUUUCCUAUCCUUCAGAACAAUGAACCAAAUAAAUUUCUGUUUGUUAUAAAUUACCCAGUCUGGUAAUCUGUUACAGCAGCACAGAGCAGACUAAGACAACUGACUACUAGCAGGCGUUCCUUUCCACCACCUCACUCAGCCAUUUCCAGCCCCUUCAGCUCAAUCCCUAAUCUGGAAUAUUGUCCCAGUGCCUCCAGUUCCUACAACCCAAUUCAUUUUGUACUUUGCAAUGGCACCAUCCAAUAAGGGCUCAAAGUCAUCUUCUCUGAGUGUCUGCAAGGUCCAGCUAAGCCUCACUUCACAAUGUGGUCUUGUUCAUGAUGUCAUGCAUGGUCUGUCUCCCCAUGGAUCCCCCCAGGGCACUGCCCACAUCUUACACAUCAUUUGAACGCCAUGGUACCC